GGCAAAGAGCAGUGGAGCACCUCCCCUUCCAGAAGAAAGUAGGACAGCCGGUUUGAGGCAAAAUACUGAGGAAGCGCUUUUGUCCUACUUCCGCUUUUUUCUUUAUCUCAAAGGAAGUUCUGGUUGUGGCACCUCCUACGCCACACCUUGUGUUGGGAAAUGGGAGCACAAACUAAUCUUAAAAGUCCAGAGGCGUCUCUCAUCUGCUCUCCUUGAGUGGCACAGGAAUCCAUCCCCAUGGCCAAAGGCAGCAGCAACAGCUACAGCAGGCUGAAACAACAGAGGGGAUGACUUGAGCUCACUGGAAGCAUCAGUUUCUCUUCCAGACAAGACAAAGACAAGCCUGAAAAAGGAUCUUGAGUUCUCCAUUGAAUGAUCUUUACUCUCCUGCUGGUCUCCUCACUGAGGCAGGAGGGGUGUGGUUUCAAGACUCGAGCUCAAACCGGGAAAAAGUCAUUUUUGCCUCAGGACCCACGUCGCAGAA